rnacentral:rRNA from 1 species
UUCCGGUUGAUCCUGCCGGACCCGACUGCUAUCAGAGUGGGACUAAGCCAUGCGAGUCGACGUAGCAAUGCGUGGCGAACGGCUCAGUAAUACGUAGUCAACAUGCCCAGGGGACGUGGAUAACCUCGGGAAACUGAGAAUAAACCACGAUAGGUCACGAUUUCUGGAAUGGAUCAUGGCAUAAAUCUACAUGGCCCCUGGAUUGGACUGCGGCCGAUCAGGCAGUUGGUGAGGUAAUGGCCCACCAAACCUAUAACCGGUACGGGCUCUGAGAGGAGAAGCCCGGAGAUGGGCACUGAGACAAGGGCCCAGGCCCUAUGGGGCGCAGCAGGCGCGAAACCUCUGCAAUAGGCGAAAGCCUGACAGGGUUACUCUGAGUGAUUUCCGCUAAGGGGAUCUUUUGGCACCUCUAAAAAUGGUGCAGAAUAAGGGGUGGGCAAGUCUGGUGUCAGCCGCCGCGGUAAUACCAGCACCCCGAGUGGUCGGGACGAUUAUUGGGCCUAAAGCAUCCGUAGCCGGUUCUGCAAGUCUUCCGUUAAAUCCGGCCGCUCAACGGAUGGGCCGCGGAGGAUACUAUAGGACUAGGAGGCGGGAGAGGCAAGCGGUACUCAGUGGGUAGGGGUAAAAUCCUUUGAUCCAUUGAAGACCACCAGUGGCGAAGGCGGCUUGCCAGAACGCGCUCGACGGUGAGGGAUGAAAGCUGGGGGAGCAAACCGGAUUAGAUACCCGGGUAGUCCCAG